rnacentral:lncRNA from 1 species
CUUGAUUCUUGACUGGUGUGACGGCACCGUAAUCCCUCCAAUCAAUGCUUUGAGGUAUCGCGGACAUGUUUACAUCCUCAAACGACACCGAUGGCUCUAAAUUUGUCAUAUUUAGAGGAAGAGAUAGACCGACAUGCUGAGCCACAAUUUCAUUAUUUGUCAUGUCAGCGAAUUGGUUAAUGCCCAGAGUAUACGAGUUUCCGCCACGCCUGUUAAAGGCUUCGAUGCGGUUUACAUUGUCUUUAAAGAUCUCAAAACGGCGCAUCUUCUCAGCAUCGUCACUGUAAACUCGGCCGAAAUCAGCCAUCCAUUCUUCAAACCUCUUCAUCAUCGAAUCAUCUGCUUCGCCGCGAGAAGCCAACGACGAAGCCCACAUCACAGAAAGAAACAAAAAAAGAAACAAUAUUUGGAAUUUGGAAGCCAUAGCUCUGACUUACAAAUGCUUUUGUUGCUGAGAGUUAGGCUCUCCGCAUCGAGUUUAUAUAGAAGUUCUCGGCCCAUGCACUAAAGUUGCUGGACCAUUAAAUNUCGAAUCAUCUGCUUCGCCGCGAGAAGCCAACGACGAAGCCCACAUCACAGAAAGAAACAAAAAAAGAAACAAUAUUUGGAAUUUGGAAGCCAUAACUCUGACUUACAAAUGCUUUCGUUGCUGAGAGUAAGGCUCUCCGCAUCGAGUUUAUAUAGAAGUUCUCGGCCUAUGUACUAAAGUUGCUGGACCAUUAAAUUUUAAUUUUUUAAAAACUUUUUUUAGAGGAAAAGAUACAACGUGCAUGUGAUGAAAUCAUUAAUUAAUUUCUCUCUUAUCCAUUGUUCGAUAGGAAAGUCGCAAUCAAGAGAGGUACAACUUUUCACUCCGUACGCGAGAGUUAUAGUGGCUGAGCUUGCCCCUCCAUGUGUGUUGACGUACGUCGUUGCAUGAUUGAUAAUACAGCAUGCGUUGCACAACAGGAAUUAAAAAUACAGCAUGUGCAUGCGCAACAGGAAUUAAAAAAUACAGCAUGUGUCGCACUAUAGGAAUAAGAAUAAGAGCCGCACAUAAUUUUAAAAUGAUAUAUGUACAUUAACAAAUAUUAUUAUUGUUUACAAUAGCUCUUUUUCUUUUUUUUUUCUUUUUUUUUUGAGAGGAAUCUCAUCAAAAAUAGAGAAUUGUCUAGAUAUCUAUCGUUUCCUGAUGUGUCGAUAUGUUGAAGGUGUUUUGGAUUAUAGUGGCGUUGGACCACAACAUACAUGUGAGUAGUUUAGAUAUCAUGUUAUUUUCUGUAGAUAUUUAAGAUUUCGAUAAAUUGAACUACAUGUCUCUAUUUUUUAAAAAAUUUGAUAUAUAUUUAAGACAUGACUCUUUCAAUUAUAUCAUGCUAGUUCUUAUUCUGAAUAAAAAAAAGGGCUAAAUUUUUUCUGAGUAGAUUUUUCUUUUUUCUUUUUCUUUUCUCUCUCUCUCUCUCUCUCUUUUGAGACCUAGUAGUCUUAUAUUUUGUAGCUAAGUUUAUUUUCGAAAUGAAUGAAGCAGAUAGCUUGCUAUCUUUUUCUCAAAAAAAAAAAAAAAAAAAGCUUAAAUUGAAUCAGUCAAACCUAUCCCCUGCUGUGUAUCAGUUACAACCUCAAUUUUAAAUAUGUUGAAAGGCAAAUUGCACUAAUAAUCUCAACAAACUUCUAUUUUUAGUCCUCAAUUUUAAGUUUUCAAUAUUUGGGACUCGUGACUAUCCAUUCUAGUGCUUAGUUAAAAAAAGUAAAAAAUACAAAAAAUUACGAGCAAAUUAAGCUAAAUUGUAGAAAAGCUCCUUACAUAUGUUGGAUUUUACACUUUUUCUUCAAUAUUUAAACUAUCAGCCAAAUCAUUAUAUACUUUACAACCACUCGCACCAAUAUAAAUUAAGAAGCGAAAAAAGUUCUAAUAUCGUGUUAAAGAACUGAAUCUAAUCAAAACAAAGUCACGGUAAAGAUAACUCUCACAUUAGAUGUACUAUUUAAUAUUAUCUAAUAAUAUAACCAAACAAGUACUCUAUAGAUGAGCGUACAUGCUAUCAGAAGCAGUCGAUGAGCUUCCCGUGCCUUCCAAGUCGUUUUGACUGUUGCGACUUGCGAAUCGUCGAUCGACUCCGUUAAACUUGAUCUAGAGUAUUUGAAGUACCUAGAAAAUAAAUUUUAUGAUUUUACGAUAUCAUUUGCCUAGUGAACGAAGGAGCUCAAAAUCAACGGCUGAAAAUAAAAAUCUUACAAAAUAUAAUAAUAUGACAUUAAAAUUUUAAAUCAAAGAUAUUUAUCUUGUUUUAUAUAGUAUAAAGAAUUUUCUAUCAAAAUUUCACGUGAUUUGGAUAUUUCUACACCGUUAAACUUGCAAACGGCUCACUACGGCCAUUGAAAUUUGUUGAUUUUGAGCCCAUUCGAUCACUAGGCAAAUAAUAUCGAAAAAUAAUAAAAUUUAUUUUCUAGGUACUCCAAAUACUCUAGAUCAAGUUUAACGGAGCCGAUCGACGAUUCGAAAGUCGCAAUAUCGAAAACGAGUUGGAAGCACGGAAGGCUCCGUGCUUCCGAUAUCAUAGUAGCCUCACUCCUCUAAUAAUAUAAUUUUGUAUUUUGUAUUUCAAUUAUAUAUACUUUCCAUAUUGACCCUCACAUUACCCCAUAAAUAUUCAAAACAAAUAAAUCUACAAAAAUAUUUUUUUUUGAGAUAUUUUUGUAUCAUAAUGUUGCAUGUGCAUGUGCAUGUGCAUGACUUUUCAAAUUGCCUGGGACAAAAAUAUUAUAUGUUUGGGGACUUUGCGGAUCGGCGCCACGUGGUCGAUUCAAUGGUCACGGAUCUCAGUUGCUUUUUCUCUCUCUCUAAAAACACAGAAUUUUUUUUUUGUCUUUCCAUCCGUGGCCAUCGGAUCGGCCACGUGGCACCAAUUUGCAUAGUCCCAAACACAUGCCCAUAAAAUUUUUGUACAAUUGUCUGGGGGCCAUCCCAAUAAUUUUGCAGCCAACGCAUUCAAUGCGGUGACAACUUAAAUUUAAUUAUUGGAGCAAGAAAAUGUGAAACCCUUAAACUUUAAGCGACUUUGAAAUAGCUCCUCAAUAUGGUUUUUCCCUCAUUGCCAUGUUUUAUAUUAGUUUAGGGUGUGUUUAGUUCUACCUAAAAUUGUUCCAAUUUUUUUUUUUCGGUUGAAAAGUAAAAUCUCAAAACAGAACCAGAAACCAUAAUGUCGAAGCAAACAACAGAACCAGAAACCAUAAUGUCGAAGCAAGCUUAGCAAUUGGAUGCAGCAAACAUCCAUAUUUAUGCAAGUUAAGCAAACAAGAUAGCAAACUGCAGUGUUGCUAAAUCAUUUGCUUCCCACUUAUUAAGAUGAGCACAAUGUCGAAAAAAUAUUAUUAUUAUACUUUCAAAAAUACAAUUAAUUUAUUAUUGAUAAUGUGGUAUAAAUAUGAUACGGUAAAUUUUCUCAUCGUCAUUUGUUUGGACCGAUACGAUGUAAUCGGGAGGGGUACAACUUUCACUCUUACGCAAGAGUUAUUGCUGUUGAUGUGUUGUUUAUUGGGACAAAAGUUUUAUAGGCAUAGUGCUCAAACUAAUUAAUUUGGAGAUUAUGCGGACUGAUGCCACGUGGCCGAUCCGACGGCUACGGAUGGAAAAAAAAAAAAAAAAAAAUUCGUGAUUUUAGAGAGAGAAAAAAAAGCACGGAGAAUCCGUGCCCGUCAGACUGCCACAGGGCGGCCGUAUCCGCAUAGUGCCCAACCAAACUAAUUAAUUGAGCACUACAGCCCAUAAAAUUUUUGUCCGUUUAUGGAAUUAUUUUUUCAGGAGAAGAAUGACGCUAAUCUGCUACCAUAAUAAAGAGGGUGAAUUAAUAGCUACAAGGAUGAGGACAGCAACGUGUCACAGAAAGAGAGACAGAAAAAAAAACAACGAAAAAAAACAUAGGAAGGUAGUUUCGAUUACAAGACCCAAAGAAUGUUCCAAGAGUUUUAUUGGAAUGAUACGCGAAUCAUGUUUGCACAACGGGAGGAGGAGCAAAUAAGAGAGCAAGCAUAAAAAUUACAACGCGAUUCACGCUCUCUUAAAAUAUUAUAAAUAUUUACAAAAUACCUUUUAAGCGAAAAUAGUCCCAUCAAAACAUAUGUUGAGAGUUACAAAUAAGGACGUGUUUUGGUUCGCUUUUUUUUCGCGCCUGGAAUCAAACUUCGAAAUCGGAAUGGGUAAAUCACAUUUGUGGGUGUUGGUACGGCGGAGUGCCAUCCAAUUCCCGAUGCCCGAGUGGACAUGGAAUCCCCCAAUCACUCUCUUUUCAUUCCGCGGCUUAGGAGGCCGAAUUGAAAUUGAAUCCGACGGAAUGAUAUUUAAUUCGGAUUAAAUUUAUUUUUAAUUGUUUUUAAUUAAACAUAGAGUUAAAAUCAAAAUUAAAAAUAUAGUAAUUUUUAAAUUUAAUUUAAAACCUAAAUUAAAAUUAAAAUGUAAAUCAAAGUAUUUCGAAUACUAAACUUAAUGAAUUGAAUUUAAAAAUUAAAUUUUAAAAUUUAUAUAAAGUUUUAUUCAAAUUUAUUGCAACCCUAAAUUAAAUUUAUGAUUCAAAUUAAAAAUUUAAAUUUGUAAAUUUUAAGUUGAAUUUGAAUAAAUCUAAAUUUAUUUCAUAUUUUUAAUUCAUCACACUCACUUAAAGUUUAUUUUUUUAAAAAAAAUAGAUUUUAAAUUUGACAUUAUUCAAAUUUUGAUAUAAAUUUUAAUAUUUAAUUUUAAUUUGAAUUUAAAUUAUAUAUGAAAAGAUAAUGUUAGUAUAGUUAAUUGAUUACUUUUUAUAUCCACCUGAACCAAACACUGAAUAAGGAAUGAUUUAUGCGAUUCCGAUUCAAGGUAUUAAACCAAAUCAGGGAAUAGUAAGAGCAAUUAACAAUUCCGAUUCCAGCUUUUGGAUUCCGAUUACGCGAUUGCCGACUCCGAUUUUCGAACGACAAACACUGCCCUAUUACCAUUGACUUUUACCAUUGACUAUUAUAUAUCUAUUAAUAGUCGGCUUAAAUUUUUAUAGUGAUAUCAAUAAAAAGGGGGGCGACGAUAUUGCCCAGGCCAUUCAUUGAAGAGGACAUGACCCUACAUAUUUUUGAAAUGCCCUCUAAAUAUUUUAUGCAAUACAUUUAUAUCAUCAUGCAUCACAAUGAAUAAUUAAAAAUAAAAAUAAAAAUAAAAAUUAGAAUUAAAACUAAAAUUAAACUUUUAAUGUAAAUAAAAGUGCAAUCAAAUUUAAAUCUAAAUUUAAAUUGAAAUAAAUAAAACUAAUUCAACAUCUAAUUUGACAAGUAACAUUAGUGAAUUCUUAAUUGGAUUCAAUUGAAUUUUCAAAUUCGAAUUACAUUUGAGUGCAGCUAAGAUCAAAGUUUAAAUGAAAAUUGACCAAAUAAUGUAAGCUGAAAUGCAGCUAUUGCGUUACAAGUGCCUGGUAAUGCUUGAUAAGGAUAGUAAAGCGCGCUUCGACAGGUCACCCGUUGUUAGAUAUUAUGAAACGUAGCCUUGUCCACCCAACCGCCUGCACCCAUAGUCCGUAGUUUAAUAAUACAACAGCACAAUCGAGAACUUCUUUCUCCGAAAGAGAUACUAAUCCCUGCUUUGACUUGUAGAUCUCUUUCACUGUCGCAUAUUGCACUGAAGCCUGCAAAACCUAUGCAGAACAAAGUUUUACGUAGCAUAACUAACUAGAGACAAAGUUAUAUAAUGAUAUACGCAUGAACUAAGGAAACAUUCAAACUAACAUAAUUAACGUUAUUUGCAAGUACAGAGCGCUUUUAACUUGUUUAAGAUUUUGAGUGUUAUAAAAUUGUCACCUAAAAGAUAUUGGCGGUUUGAACUCUCAUACACGACAUGUUUCAAAAUUUAGAAAAUUAACUAGUAGAGGAAAAAGUACAGACUAGAGGAUCACAUUUCGGAAAUUCUGAAGAUGAUUUUUCGGCCAAUCCAGAUUCGCAGCACACAUUAGAACAAAAUAAUGAUUUGAACACUCUAACAAGAUAUAGCAGUGUUGCGCACUUUAAUAUGCACAAACAUAACUAUACGAAGUAUGUUGUAUACAUUAAAUUUACUAUGUCCAAAUAAUAGGUUAAAGAUGGAAUACGAAUGAGAUUGAUUUCUUUUUUUUCCGCUACAACUCAGUUAGGUUUUGUUCUUUUACAGUGGCGUCCGACCGCAAACAUACAUCAUACCGAUUAUAUACUCAGAUCCAAUUUUAUUCGAACCAGAUAAUAUAGAAUUUGUAAUGCACUAUAGUCCUAAAACCUUAAUUAGUUAGGCUAAAUAAGAAAAAUCCUCUUGUUAACCAUCUGUUUUCACUUCCUCCAUGCUGCAUUUAAAAAUCUAUAACCUUGCGCCCCCCUAAAAAUAAAAAAUAUUCAUAUUCGGUUCCUGCCGUCAGUUUCUAGUUGAGGUUCCAUUUCAUAUCUUAUUUUUGUAAUUCAAAAUAUUUCUGAAUUCUCAUCUACUAUCCACACACCAUGACCGCCUCGCUCUGCCCACUCCCCUUCAUAGCGUAGAUGCAUCCACGCCUGCUCUCUGCCGCCUGGAAUGACAAGAUUGGGGAACAGAAAUAAAGAAAAGUAGGAACAUUUGUUCAUCUUUAUCACACCAAUAUCAUUCUAUAAAUACGUUUUUAUUUUUCGAUAAAAAAAGCAAAGUAUCAUGAUUUUUUUUUAAAAAAAACAAGAAAAACGGCUUUGCUAAAGGUUUCAUAUAAUAGCCAUUUAAUUAAUGCGAGCAACAUUCGCAAACUGAAAAAUGCUAGAAUGCACGGUUAUAAUUAGUGACCGUACGCGGCAUAACAAACCAAUUACAUUAAUCCUUUUAAAAAUAUAUGUCCGCAUCAUGAAUGUAAAGAGUAUUUAUUGUACUUUAUUUUGAAAAGAUGAUAUGAUUGGCUUUUAUGAGACGUGGUGCAAAUGUGACAGUGAGAUUCCUCUUCCAAACAUAAGGCACGCCCUCAGCUCAAACAUUCCAAACUAGGUCCAAACGUUCUUCUUUUUUUAAAAAAAAGUUGAGUUUUGUUUUUAUUUUUUUGAUAAUUAGAUUAAAAUAUUAUAAGAUUUUUAUCAGAUUUUCCUGUGAUCCAUCAAAUUUAAACAGUUGACCAUUCUGCAUUGAACUUAAUAAUUACUAAAAUUCAAGAUAUAUUUAUCAAAUAUAUCAAAUAAAAAUUCAUAUAUUUACAUAGGCGAAGGUACGUAGGACGUAAUGCAUCCCAAAUGGAUUAACCAAGUUCAUCGCAUCGAAACCAAAACGCAUACUUAACAAAAAACGCGUCUUUUAUUUAGUAACUGCCAAAGAUGAAGAACCAUUUCGGUCAGAGAACACCUAAUAUUUUUAAGUAAGAUUCAAAAAACCUCCAUGUGAAUUCGUAGUUUCUCACUGUUGCCUCCCUGUGUUUAAAAUGUAUCAAUUGCUCCCCCGUGUUCUUUUUCUCUUUUUUAUCAUUGCAUUUAUUUUUUAUCUUAAUCAGUCUAAAGUUAAAAUAAAAGUAUAAAAUAAAUAUUUGAUAACUCUAGAUGGAUAUCUGAAGUUUUGUAUAUAAUUUGAUGAAAUAUUAAGAAAAACUACCAAAAAAUAAAAAUGAAACCACAGGGGGCAAUAUUGAUACAUUUUACACCACAGGGAGGUAAGUGAAAAACUACGAAACCAUAGAAGGGAGUUUUUGAAGUUUUUCUUUUAAAAAAAAAAAAUUAUUUAAAUAGACUAAUUUUUUUAAAAAAAUAUUAUUUAUUUAUGUAAUUCAAUGACUAUAAUUGUAAUAGAAUAAAUUUUCUCAUUUAUUGAAUAUUUUUUUAAAAAAAAUUUUUUUUUAUUGUAAAUUUUUGAUCCGUCUGCUGAUCUCCAUCUAUUAUGGUCAGAAUUGAGAGAAAGCUAGAUACACAAGCCAUUGCAUAAGUUACAGAUAUGGUGUGGCUCAGUCGAGUAGGUUAACGGCAAACCCUUAUUUCCACCCAUAGUUGGCCGCACAUACACAAGUUGCAUUGCAUAAAGAGACCAUGUGAUCCAUUUAUAGUACUAACCAAGGCACACUAGUCCACAUAAAUGAAGGACACAUCAUUAUAGAUUUCAAACUUAACAUACUGAUAGAGACACACCGGAAACAAAACAGAAACCCACAAUGUCGAAACAAGCUAGCACUUGAUGCACGCAAAAUCCUUAUUUAUGUAAGAAACGCAAAUAAGUAGGCAAACUAGCAGGUCGAAAAAAUCAUUUGCUGUUCCGACUUAUUACGUAGCUUCAAUUUCAGAAACCCAUCUUAAUAACUUCGGCAUUAGCCCUGAUUGGAAGUAGGAAUAGAGGAGACAUGCGAUUCCACAUACUCCAGAAGACGAUACACAACUCUGCCCAUAACGACGUAUCCACUUCUCCCCCCAUGACUGCCCCCACGAGUCCUUACUAUCUAAUAUUUUUAGUUCCACGGCUAUCAUGCCCGUACCUAUAAUGGUAAUGGCAUGAUUAGAGACUAGUUCACACAGGUCCGGCGCUAAACACAACCCCAUUGUAAAUUGAAAGUUUCACUGGCAUCGAUAAGAGCACUAUGUUGAUUCGACACAGCGCGUACAUAUGCUGCGUCAAUCGUUCCUUCGCACAUAUGAAUAACCAGUAAUGUAAGCUGAAUUAGAACAGCUAUUGGCGUUUGGCAAGUGCCAUUGAGCUAUGCUUGAUAAGGAUAGUUUUUCGUGGUCACACCGUUGUUUAUGAUAUGAUGAAAUCGAGGCCUUGUUCACGAAACCUAGCCGCCUUUGCAACCGCUACUACAGCACAUCGAGGAACUUCUUGCUUCCGAUAAAGAUACUAAGUUACCCCUGUUUUAUCUGUAGAUUCCCUCACCGUCGCAAUUGCACGAAUGACCAGCAAGAACCUAUGCCAAACAAAAGAUACGCGUUAGCAUAACGACGAAGCAAAGUUAUAUCUGAGAUGCAAUGAUAUAACGAAUAUCCUCACAACUCAACAAUAAUAUAAAUGUUUUUGGCAAUACAGACUGCUUUUAACUUUAUUUCAAACGGUUUGUCAAGGCAUAUGGAGUCCUGUUCUUUUUGACUACAACGACUUUGGCUUACUUUAUAUAACUGAUUAUGGCAUAACUCAAUUAAUAGUAAGAGAACUCAGCAAAUAGAGCUAAUUGCAAAUAGAUUGAAUCAAGUCGAAGCCUGUGAACAUUGUCCUUGAAUCCUUAAAUGCGAUGGAUGUGUCCUUUUUAUCACCAUGUAUGUAUUUUUGGAUAGUUAAUUAACACUUAUAUAUACAUUUGAUGGCUAAGUUGAUUUUUUAUUAACUAGAUUCAAUACUUCAUUUCUUUGUACAUUGAUAAUGUGUGAUUAUACAUGUUUAGACACUUUUAAUCAGCCAAAGUAAUGGAAUUAUUGAGUUUUAGUGGGCGGAAAUUUGGUCCUUUUGUCCAGAAAAGGCAGAAGGCAUUCGGUAGCAAGCAUAUUUGAUCUAAGCAACAUGUUAGCAGCAUCUUAUAAAGUUAACUAAGAAUAAUUUUUUUUUCUUUUUUCUAGUUGAAGAAAUGAAGUUGCAUUGACAAUUUAUAGUCUAAAUUAUUUCUUACCACAGGGGUUUUGAUUCUUGACCUCGUUUACGGCACCAUAGUCUCUCCAAUCAAUACUUUGAGGCACCGCGGAGAUGUUUACGUCAUCAAAUGACACCACUGGCUCUCUCUCGAUAUUUAGUGGGAGAGAUACGCCGGUAUAUUGAGCAACAAAUUCGCUUUUUGUCAUAUCGGUAAACUGAUUGAUACCGAGAGUGUACGAAUUUCCGUUGCGACUGUUAAAGGUUUCGAUAUGCUUCACGUUGUUCUUGAAUAUCUGAAACCGGCGCAUCUUCUCGUCGUUGUCCUUGUAAACUCGGCCAUACUCCGCCAUCCAUUCUUCAAACCGCUUCAUCAUGGGAUCACUGGGUUCGUCACGAGAAGCUGCCGAUGGCGAAGCCCACAUCACACAGAGAAACAUGAAAAGAAACACGAGUUGAACUUUGGAAGCCAUGCUUAUGUAGCACUAAAUAUGUAUGAGGAAAUUGGAGAUGGAGCUACAAGAGCUUUUGGUGCUGAGAGUAUGGUGUCAAGAUCGAGUUUAUAUAGAAGUUCAUGCCUUGGAAUGUAGGUGCGAGAAUUAUUGUGUGGGGGCCUACAAGAUGUCACAAAUCGCCAUCAAAUUAAGAUUAAAUAGUUCUGGACCGCUUGCGGCACCACGUCAUGUGGUCACUAGUGUAGUGAUUUGCUUAUUACGUCGGGCAAAUACUAUUGACAUAAAAAUUGGUACAAAAUAAAAUAUCAGUUUAGUAUGAAAAAAUAGUAAAUAUAGUUUAUAUUAUAAACAAACACUUCUAAACAAAAUAAAACUAAAAUGAAAAAAAAUUAAUCAUUCCAAUAAAAUUAUUCAAGCUUGUUAAAAAAAAUCGCAUAUCAUACAAAUGGAUGAUUAAAAUUAUUUUUAACUUGGGAUGUCUCCACCAGAUGGAUGCGAGGCAGAGACUCAUUGUCAGGAGCAGCAAGAGCACUUUUCGACUUAUGCUUUGUUGGAGCUUGUUGGGAACUUUGGAAGGAACGGAAUUCACGGAUCUUUUAGCAACCAACACUCGACGUACGACGAACUAGGAAGGAUUGUUGUUUCCAUCGUAAAGUUCUGGGAAUCUAUUUUGGGGUCCUAAUUGUGAAUCGUUUUGUUUGUUUUACCCUGUUAAUUAGUGGUCCUGUUCUGUUAAUUAGUGGUCCUGUUGUGCUUUCUGAAGUUAGCUCAAGGGGCCUUCUUAGGGAAAGCCAAGCUAGCUCUGCUAUCUUAAGAUGUAUUCUCUGUUUCAAAUAUAGUAUAUUCCUGUUUAAUCAAAAAAAAAAUAUUUUUAUAAUACAAUAAUCAGAUAAAAUAUCAUAUAACAGUUGAUAUGACUAAAAAAAACUCACAAUAACUGACCGUUCCUAGAGCAAGUGGCAAAGGGCUUGGUGAUUGGUACCCGAGGUCCCAAGUUCGAAUCCUAGUUGAUUCACAUUUCCAGCUAAGUUUAUUUCUAAAUGAAAUAAACGAAGCGGGUAGCAUGCUACCUAUCUAAAAAAAAAAAAAAAAAAAAAACUCACAAUUAUACGCAAGACAAAUACUAUAUAUAUAAACAUAUGUAAUUCGGUCUAUCGACAGACUAUUUUUUAGCGGAAAAAAAAAUGAUUCACUUCUUACUAAAAUAAAUAAUGUAAUGAAAAAAACUUUUAAUACUUUUUAUCAUCUAAAAUAGAAAAAAAUAUACUUAUUCAAAAUUUUGUCAACCGAAAGAUAUUACUAUAAAUCUAUAUUUUAAUUCAAAAUUAUUUAAUAUUUUUUUAUCUCUAAAAAUAAAAAAAUUCAUACUAUUCAAAUUUUUGCUACAAUAUCUAAUGUAAAUCUAUAUUUCAAUUCAAAAUUUAAAAUUAAUUUAAAAUUUAAAUUUAAAAUUUGAGAACUAUCAACAUAUUAAAAUAAUUUUAAAUAUUUUUUUUUCCAUAUUAUAGUGAACGAUUAUACUUAAUUACCAUUAGAAAAUAAAGAAGUUACCUUAAUUUAUAUGAUUUUACUCCAACCACUUUCAUCUACUAGCAUGCUCCAGUUCCCAAAUGUGUCUAAAUUAGAAGACAAUCCAAAUAUGAAAGCGACGAUUAGAAGUUGACAACUAAAGUUAAUUUAAUCGUUAAACUUCAAUUUACUCUCCGCUGAUUUUAGCUUAUUUUUUUAAAAUUUGAUUUUUACUGUAGUUCAAAAUUGCCUUAAUUAUCAUAUAAUUUUAUUUUUAUUUUACCGAUAGAAUUUGACAUAAGUUAGCAAAGUAAAUUUUUUUUAAAAAAAAUCAUAAAGUGAUAUCUGCUUACCAAUAAAUUCUUACAAUAAAAUAAAAAUAAUAUUAGUAAAAUAGUUAAGUAUGUAUAACUUUUCAAACCACGUAAAAAGUGAAUUAAAAAAUAUUAAACAACAGUAAAAAAAUUAAAAUUACUCGAUCCCAAUUCAUUCAUUUUCUUCAUCCAAAGAUUCUACAAUCUCAUUCUCUCAACGACAUUCGAGUGCAAAUUAAACAUAUACAUGUUACACCAAAAGUCAAAUCAGGCAUUAUAAUUUUUUUAAUAUAUAAAUUUUUAAAACUUUAUAAAAUUAUAUCAAAUAAAUUAAAUUUUAAUUUCAAAUUUUUUAGAGGAAAAGAUAAUUAGUUACACAUUUUGUUCAUUUUGAGAUUUUUUUUUUCCCCAAGUAAAACCUAAUAAGUGAUGUAGUGCCGGCAUGCAUAUGCUGAUCCUUGAAAAUUUUUAAGUAUCGUUUGGUUUGGAAAUAAGCAAAAAGUGGUUAUUCCAGGAAUAGGUAUAAAUUGAGGUAUAAGUAGGGGUUAUAUCAAUUUUGAGUUUGGAUGAAAAUUAGAUUUUUUUUUUUUUAGAAUAAAAAAAAAGUAUUUGGUUAGGUAAGAUGUAAUAAAAAUUUAAAUGGAUAGUUAUAAAUAAAAAAUAAUGAUGUUAUCAUUUUCUUUAUAUUAAAAUUUGAAAUUUGAAAUUUUAUAUUUAUAUUUUAGAAUAAAUAUAAACUUUUAAAUUUUAAAAUUUCAAAAUCUCAAAUUUACAAUUUUAAAAAUUUAAAAUUUAAAUUUUAAACUUUAAAAUUAAAAUGAAAUUUUAAUUUAAAAAUACAAAAUAUCAAAUUCUAAAUAUAAAAAAUUUAAAAUAUCAAAUUUUAAAAGUUAAAAUUAAACAUGAAUUUUUUUGUGUUUGGGGGAGCACGACGAGGGGGGACAGAGGAGCGAAGCGGAGGGGCGGGGGGUGAGGUGGUGGGUGUAUCUGCGUGUGUUGUGUUUUUAUAUAUGUAGGUGUAUUUUUUUGAUUUGGUUUAUUUAAAUUGUUGCAAUUAUUUUUUAAGUUACGCCUAUGGAUAACAAUACUGCGCCAAUUUAAAAAAAUUCUUUAAUUUGAUGGUCUGGCAGUAUGUCACAUUCUCGAUUGUUCGUAGCGUGUGCUUAUCAAUAUAACGACUACAUUUUAAGGACUAUCGUCUUAGGGUAUAACGGUGAGAAUAUCUCACAACUCAACGAGNNNNNNNNNNNNNNNNNNNNNNNNNCAGACUUUAUCAAAUUUAAUUUUAAUUUAAAAAUUUUAAACUAUUUAUGUGAUGUAUGCGGAUGAUGAAAAUAUUGAUAAAUAUCUAGAGGCAUUUUCAAGAAUUUGAAUAUCAACUAUAUAAAAUUUAUGAGACUCAAGUGAUAUAUAACAGGCAAUGGUAGAAUAAGUAUUUUGUAACUAUCACGAUUAUUUUGGAUUGAGACUAAUCGUUUAACGUGAGCCUUAAUUGACGGUAUAAAUAAUUUAUGAGAUUUUUCUUAUCACUCCUCCUCCUCCGUAUGCGCAACACGUGCUCCGGUAAUAAUUCCAAUACACAACACAUCCUGCAGUAACUCUUGUUACGGAGUGAAGGUUUGUCCGCCCCCUCAUUCUGAUUGCAUCUGUCAACGAAAAGGACGAACAAAUGCUUUCUAAUAAUAUAGGUACCUGCCGUUAUCUGUCCUAAAUAAAGGUUUUAUAGCUUUGCUUGCGAAAAUGUUUACUAUAUCAUACUUACAUCGCAUCACAAUAAUAAAUAUAUUAUAUAAUUUUUAAUAUAUAAUAAAAUUUUUUUAUAUUAUUAUAAUAAAUAAAUUUAAAAAAUUCUUAAUUUGAUUGUGGAGAUGUCACUUAUCAAUAUAACGGAUACAUUUAAGACUAUGUUCGGUUAGGGGAUAAGGUGGAAUUUAUUCACCCUCAUCCCCAAACACAAAAAAAUUCUUUUAAUUUUACUUUAAAAUUUGAUAUUUUAAUUUUUAUAUUUAGAAUUUGAUAUUUGUAUUUUAAUUAAAAUUUCAUUUUAAUUUUAAAGUUUAAAAAUUUAAAUUUUAAAUUUUAAAUUGUAAAUUUGAGAUUUUGAAAUUUUAAAAUUUAAAAGUUUAUAUUUAUUCUAAAUAUAAAUAUAAAAUUCAAAUUUCAAUUUAAUAUAAAGAAAAUGAUAACAUCAUUAUUUUAUUAUACUAUACCAUUUAAUUUUAUUACAUCAUACUAACCAAUACUUUUUUUUUAUUCUAAAAAAAAAAAAAUCUAAUUUUUCAUGCAAACCAAAAUAUGAUAUACCCCUUACUUAUACCUCAAUUAUAGCUAUUCUCUGGAAUAACAUUUUGAUUAUUUCCAAAGCAAACGAUACUAAAAAUUUUCAAGAUCAGCAUAAUGCAUGCCGCACUACACUUAUUAGUUUACUUUGGGGAAAAAAAAAAUCUCAAAAUGAACAAAAAUUUAACUAAUUAUUUUCCUAAAAAUUAUGAAAUUAAAAUUUAAUUUUAUUUGAUAUAAUUUAUACCAGUUUAAAAAUUAUAUAUUUAAAAAAUUAUAAUGCCUGAUUUGACUUUGGUGUAACAUGUAUAGUUGUAUAAUUUGCACUCGAAAUGUCGUUGAGAGAAUGAGAUGUAAAUCUUUGGAUAAGAAAAGAAAUGAUUGGAUCGGUUAAUUUAAUUUUUACUGUUGUUUAAUAUUUUUAAAUUCAUUUUACGUGUUGAAAAGAUAUACAACUUAACAUAUUACUAAUAUUAUUUUUAUUUUUAUGUAGGAAUUAUUGUUAAGCAUGCUACACUUAUGAUUUUUUUUAAAAAAAUUACUUUCUAACUUAUGUAAUUCUAUGGGUAAAAUAAAAAUAAAAAUUAUAUAAUUAAGUGCAAACUUUCGAACUGCAGAAAAAACAAGGAACAAUCUACUAAAUCAGGGAGAGUAAAUUGAAGUUAACGAUAAAUAACUUUAGUUGCUAACUUCUAACUCGGCUUUCAUAUUUUUGGAUUUGUCUUCUAAUUUAGACACAUUGGGGAACUGCGAGCAAUGCUAGUAGAUGAAAGUGGUUGGAGUAAAAUCAUAUAAAUUAAGGUACAACUUCUUUAUUCUAAUGGAUAUAAGUAUCGUUCACUAAUAUGGAAAAAAAAUAAUUUUAAAUAUUUUAAUAUGUUGAUAGUCCAAAAUUUAAAUUUAAUGUUAAUUUUAAAGUUUUGAAUGGAAAAUAUAGAUUUACAUUAGAUAUUGUAAAAAACAUUUGAAUAAGUAUGAAUUUUUUUAUUUUAUAGAUAAAAAAUAUAAUAUUUGAUUAAAAAUAGAUAUUAUAGUCAAUAUCAAUUCGGUUGACAAAAUUUGAGAUAAGUAUAUUUUUUCUAUUAAGAUAAAAAGAUAUAUAAAAGUUUGUUUCAUUUACAUUAUUCAUUUACGUAAGGAAGUAAAUCAUUUUUUUUCCUGUAAAAAAUACGGUCUGUGAUAAAUUAGAAAUAUGUUGUAUCUUGCGUAUAUAUAAUGUAGUUUUUUUUUUUUUUUUUUGAUAGGUAAGCAUGCUACCAUCGCUCGUUAUUCAUUAGAAAUAAACUUAGCGGAAAUGUGAAUCAACUAGUCGAACUUGGGACCUCGGUACAAUCAUCCCAAGCCCUUUGCCACUUGCUCUAGGAACGGUCAUUAUUGUGAGUUUCUUUUAGUCAUAUCAACUGUUAUAUACUAUAUUUUAUCUGAUUAUUGUAUUAUAAAAAUAUUUUUUUUUGAUUAAAACAGGAAUAUAUAUAUUUGAAACAGAGAUACAUCUUAAGAUAGCAGAGCUAGCCUUGCUUCCCUAAGAAGUCCCUUGGACUAACUUCAAGACAACAUGACCACUAAUUUAUAUUAAUCGAACAGGACCACAUUAACAGGGUAAAACAAACAAAAACGAUUCACAAAUUAGGACCCAAAAUAGAAUUCCCAGAACUUAGAUGAAACAAACAAUCUUCCUGAUUCGUCGUAGCGAUGUUGUUUCUAAAGAUCUUAUUCCGUCUCAAAGUUCCCAAACAAGCUCCAACAAGAGCAUAAGUCGAAAAGUCGCAUCUUCUGCCCUGACAAUGAGUUCUCUGCUCGAUCCAUCUUGUGGUAGACAUACUCAGUUAAAUAAUUUUAAAUCAUCCAUUUGUGAAUCGAAGCGAUUUUAAUCAAUUUAAAUUUUAUUGGACAUAUAUUUUUUUCAUUUGUUUUAUUUGUUUAGUAAGGUUUGUUUAUAAAUUAAAUAUAUUACUAUUUUUUCAUACUAAAAACUGAUAUUUAUUUUUACAAUUUUUAAUGUCAAUAUAAUUGCCCGACGUAAUAAAGCAAAUCACUACACUAGUGACCACAUGCGUCGGGUGCCGCAAGCGGUCCAAACUGAUUUAACUAAGUUUUGAUGCGAUUGGUGACAUCUUGGUAGCCCCACACAAUAAUUCUCGCACCUACUUCCAAGGCCAUGAUACUUCUAUAGUAAACUCGAUCUGACACAUACUCUCAGCACCAAAAGUCUUGUAGCUCCAUCUCAAUGUUCACCAAUACAUAUUAGUUGCUACAUAAGCAUUGGCUCUCCAAAGUUCAACUCGUUGUUCUUUUCAUGUUUCUCUGUGUGAUUGGGCUUCGCCAUUUUCGUCAGCUCUCGGACUGAACCCUAGUUGUAUUCUCCAUAUGAUUGUAACGGUUAUAAUUUGAGAUAUGGAUGGCGAGUAUUGGCGAGUUUACAAGGACAACGACGAGAAGAUUGCUCGCGUUUCAGAUAUUUCAGUAACAAGCGUGGAAGCAUUAUCGAAACCUUUACACAAGUUCGCAACAGGAAUUCGGUACACUCUCGGUUCAAUCAGUUUACCGAUAUGACAAUAAAGCGAACUUUGUUGCUCAAAUAUUAACUGGCUAUCUCUCCCACUAAAUAUGAGAGGAGAGCUAGUUGUGUCAUUUGAUGGACGUAACACAUCUCCGCGGGUGCCUCAAAGUAAUUUGAUUGAGAGAGACUAUUGGUGCCUAAACGAGGUCAAGAAUCAAAACCCCUGCUGGUAAGAAAUAAUUUAGACUAAUAAUUUCUGCAACUUCAUUUCUUAACAGAAAAAAGAAAAAAAAUUAUUCUUAGUAACUGUUAUAAGAUCUGCUAACAUGUUGCUUAGUUUUUUAUUCUUCCCGAAUGGCCCCUUCUGCUUUCUGGACAAAAGGACCAAAUCCGCCCACUAAUUUUCUGCUGAUAAAAGUUCUAAACAGUAUAAUCAUUUUUAUUUCAAUGUACAAAGAAAUGAAGUAUUGAAUCUAGUUAAUAAAAAUCAUCUUAAGCCAUCAAAUGUUAUAUAAGGUAAUUCACUAUCCAAAAAAUACAUUUUGGUGAUACAAAAGGACACUUUUUAUCCAUCGCUUUUAAGUGAUUCAAGACAUAUGUCCUACUUCGACUUGAUCAAUCUAUUUGCAAAUUAGCUUAUGCUGUGUUUUUUACUAUUAAUUAAAGUUAUCAUUUAAUCAUACCUACUAAAGUAAGCAAAGUACGUGUUAGUUCAAAAAACAGGACAUCAAUGCUGAAACCGUUUGAAAACAUUUUUUAUAUCAAGCAGCUCUGUACUAAAUUUUAAUUAUGUUAGUUAUUUUAUAUUCAUAGCAACUCAGAUAUAACUUUGCUACUUUUUUUACGCGUAUCUUUGUUUUAGGCAUAGGUUCUGCUGGGUCAUCGCUGCAAUUGCGACGGUCGCGAUUGGGAUAUUCUACAAGAAAAACAGGUAUUAGUAUCUUUAUCGGAGCAAGAAGUCUCGAUUGUGCUGUUUUUAUUUUGGCGUGUGGUAUACUAUGCUUAGCUGUGUAUUCAUAGUUCUGAAUCAUCUUUCACAGAUCUGAAUUUAAAUUUUAAAUUUGAAUUCAAAUUUUGAACUUAAAAUUGUAAGUCAAUUUUAAAUCUAAAUUAAAUUUGAAAUUCAAAUUCAAAUUUAUAUUUUGAAUUUGAAUUUCAAAAUAAAACUUUGAAAUUAAAUAUAAAACUAAUUAAAAAUCUAAAUUCACUACAUGCAAGAUAAUUAAAUUAUGGGGACAUAUGUUUGGAAUAUUUUUAUAUAAGUGCCCUAUUUAUGUCAAAACUUUAAAAAUAAUCUAUUAAUGCCUAAAUAUAAAGCCCAAUCCAUUCUCCGGUAAACUAAGAUUAUCGGACCAAUUUUCAUAUUGUAAUGAAUCGAUUGUAACCUAAUUCUUAUAGUCCAUUAAAAAAUAAAAAAGUGAAUAUUUAAAUGAUUUUACAGUAGUUCUUAAGUUAGAAGACGACCCAAAAUAUGCAAUGGCGGAGUUCGGAGCUGGUAACUAAAGUUAAUUUAAUAUGUUAACUUCAAUUUACCCCGUGAUUAAGUAGAUUUUUUCCCUUUUUCCUCCGAUGCUUCAAAAAUUCGCCGACAGAACCCAACGUCAGUUACCAAAGUGAAUUUUUUUAAAAAACUUAUAGCAUACUAUGCUCUUUAACAAUAAAUUCUUACAAUAAAAUAAAAAUAAAAUUAUAGAAUACUGAAGUAUAACUCUUUAAGCCAUUGAAUGACAAAAAAAAUAUAUAUAUAUAUAUAUUAAACCACAAUGAGAAAAAUUGAAAAUUAUCCUACUUUUUAGUUCAUCAUACUAACUCCAUACCUACAAGCUCAUGUAUUACACCAAAAAUCAAACCAUCAUGUAUUAUAUAUUUUUUUAAUAUAAAAAUCUUUUAAACUCUAUAAAAUUAUAUUACAUUAAAUUAAAUUUUAAUUUAAAAUUUUUGGGAGGAAAAGAUGCAGUUUUCAGUUUCGUUCAUUUUACGAUUUUCUUCUCUUUUUUUCCUUUUUGAAGUAAAACGUAGAGACUUGGUGUAUCCUAAUGUUCAUGCGAUGAAAUCAUUAAUUUCUCUCUUGUCCAUUAAUUUUUUGAGAGAAAGGUACCUGCUUUAUUCAUUAAAGAAAAAAUUAAACUACACGAUUAAGAUAAAGGAAUCUCCGAAGUAGACCGAAAAAAUGAAAAAAAAAAUAAUUAAAUUUACAAAAACAUAUAACAAAAAAAAAUUUAAAAAAAAGGAUAUGCUCGUUUAAACACUCUAUUCUUCUCCCACUGAAGCAUCAAACAUCUGAUCGAUUUGACAGCUAGUAAAGAAUUAGUAUUAGCCAAUCUAUAAAUAACGGUGUUUCUUACUGUUCAGAUAACUCACCAAUUUUUUUUUUUGAAAAAGAUAACUCACCAAUUGACUGUGAGUUUUGUAAAUCUGUUUCUAACAUUCUGAGCACUAUCCCUUCCCAUGCUUCCACUUAUCCCAUACUAACCUCUCUUGUCCUUUGCUGGAUCGGAAAGUUGCAAUCAAGUUUGUCCGUUUCUCUCCCUGUUGGAGAGCAGUCAGAUUUUUUUUUUUUGGUGCACCCGGUGCACUAGUUUUGUUUUAAAAUUUUAUUUUUUGUUUUUUAAUUAUAAUUUAAUAAUAUAUCUCAUGAUUUUAAAAAUAUAUGUAAAAUAAUUUAGAAUUUAGGAUUUAAAAUUCUUUUGCAUAUAUUUUUUAAAUAUCAUAAAAUAUAUAUCUGUUAUAUGAAAUUAAAAUUAAGAUUAAAAUUAAAAUUUUAAAGUAAAAAAUGAUGCACCGGUGCACCGAAAAAAACCCGCUGUGUCCCGAGAGGCAGAGCAGUCGGGACGGUGGCCCGCGUGGCUCGGGUGCCAUGCGGCGCCCAUCCAGUGUCCUCAAAAAAAAAGGAGAAUUAAUGGGUGGAGCCCAACAAGUUGGUACAAAUCGCCAUUAAAUUAAGAUUAAAUAGUUCGGGACCGCUUGCGACACCAUGUCAUGUGGUUAUGAGCUAAUCACAAAAAUAUUUAAGUUUCUCUACUUGUCUCAUAUUUAAAUUUUAUAAUUUUUUUUAUAGGACAUACAAUAACGAAAUAGAUCUGGACCCUGUUAAAGAUAAAAAUAUAUAAACAUUAUUCUCUAAAAGUUUAAGCUUUUAGUAUCGUUUGGUUCGAGGAUAAGCAAAAAGUGACUAUUCCAGGGAUAGGUAUAAAUUGAGGUAUAAGCGGGGAUUAGAUCAAUUUUGCGUUUGGAUGAAAAUUGGAUUAUUUCUGAAAAUAAAUAUAAAUAAUAUGUAUUAAUAUAGUACAAUUAAUAAUUUUAUAAUAAAAAUAAUGUAUUAUAAUAUAUAACAUAUUAUAUUUAUAUAAUUAGUUUUAAUUCAAUUUAUAAUUUUAAUUAAAUUUGAAAUUAAGCAUUAGAAUAGUGCUAUUCCACCAAAAUGGUGGAAUAGCAAAUCCCUUGCUAUUCCGGAAUAACCGGAAAUAGCAAGGUUUGACCGGGAUAAAAUAUCCCGGCCAAAUUUCAUCCCAUUUGGCGGAAUAGCGGGGAUAACUUUUGUUAUCCCCGCUUAUCCCCCAACCAAACGGGGCCUUAAGGAAUUCACAUUGUGAUUGUUUGAUUGAUGGAUGGCCAUUACAUUGAAAUUGGUCUAUGCACUCUGUUUGGUUAAAACUAUUUGAGUAGUUCUCAUCAAGAAUCCCUACACAUUUUUUUUAUUAUAUUCAUUUCCUACUUUUAUUCUAUCUCUCCACACACACACACACACACACACACACACACACACCCCCUUCCCACCACCCCCUCCAAAUUUGGCUGAUAUUAAUGAAAAGGAAUUAUAACUAGUUGAGAGGAGAUUUUCGGCACUUUAGAAAAUAAGUGUGUAUGUUUGCUCUACCGUGUUAAUUUACUGAAAUUACUGUCAUUGUACAGGGUUAUGUGUAAUUCCAGUUGUAAGAACCUUUAGAACACAUCAACUUGUGUCAUACGUUGUUACGCCUUUUUGACAAAACGUAGGAAUAUUAUUUGAGUAGAGGUAUUUGAAGAAGUUGCAAGAUGUGUUUGUUUAGAGUAUUGUAGUUCCAUGGAUAGGAAAUAAGGAUAGUUUAUCCACUAUAAGAGGGCAAAGGGAAUUAUCUAGGCUAAUGGUUCCUUAUGAGAGUAGCAUAACUCCAUUCUAGCGUACAGUUUGAUAUCUCCUACUUAGUUCUAGUUGGGAAUUUAUCAAACUCAAAAGUACUUAACAGGAUAGCAGGGAUAUUGCCAUUAUCUUUCCAACUUGCAAAUGCUGAAUGUAAAUAUACUUGGCAUGGAGUUGAACAAAAAAACUUUUAAGUUAGACCAGCUUUUUAGGGAGCUCUUUUAGUCUUCGCACUAUGCUAGGAGCUCUAGAUUUUUUUUCUGUUUGCUAAACGUCUGACUUUUGCUUCUUGAGUAGAAUAACUUUUUUAGAAGUCAAACCAAUUAGGUAGUAUAUACUUUUGCAUAUGCUAACAAAAGUAUGUAUUCGAAAAAUAUUUGCUGAGCUAACCUGUGACAUUAGGAUGCUAGCACAAGUAUCACUGCUGUAUAUGCUGNCUAAUUCCUACUUAAUUACCAUUAGAAAAUAAAGAAGUGUACCUUAAUUUAUAUGAUUUUACUCCAACCACUUUUCAUCUACUAGCAUGCUCCAGUUCCCAAAUGUGUCCUGAAUUAGAAGACAAUCCAAAAUAUGAAGAGCCCGAGUUCGUUUCUUCAAAAAAUUUUCGGAAUUUUUGUAGAUUUAUUUGCGAAUUUUUCGGACAAAAAAAAUGGCUUAAUCUAAUUUAUUCUUUUUAUUUUUUUGGAAAAAUACGUAAACAGCCGAUUAAUUCGUUUCUUCAAAAAUUCGCGAAUUAUUCGCGAAUUUACUAUCUAAGCCUAUCGCUCUCAAAAACAAAAGAAAAAAAAAGAAUUUUUAUCAGAGCAUGUGUUGCACAACGGGCGGAGGAGUGAUAAGAAAAAUCUCAUAAAUUAUUAAUACUGAUAGUUACAAAUAUCUUUAUUAAAUUAUUAUAAAUAUUACAAAUAUCUUUAUUAAAGCGAUUAGUCUCUAUCCAAAAUAAUCGUGAUAGUUACAAAAUACUUAUUUUAUUAUUGCCUAUUAUAUAUCAUUUGUGUCGCUUAAAUAUUCUAUAGCUGAUAUUCAAAAUUUUUCAAAAAUGCCCUCUAGAUAUUUUAUCAAUAAUUUUCAUCAUCACGCAUACAUCACAUAAAUAAUUUAAAUUUUAAAAUUUAAAAUUAAAAGUAAAAAUUUAAAUUUAAAUUUAAAAUUUGAUAAAGAUCUGAAUUCAAAUUUUAAAUUGAAUUCAAAUUUUGAACUUAAAAUUGCAAGUCAAUUUUAAAUAUAAAUUUAAAUUUGAAAUUCAAAUUCAAAUUUAUAUUUUGAAUUUGAAUUUCAAAAUAAAACUUUGAAAUUAAAAAUAAAACUAAUUCAAAAUCUAGAUUGAAAGUAAAAUUAGUAUAAAAUCUUAAUUCGAUUUCAAUUGAAUUUGAAUUAUAUUCGAAUCCAAAAUCAAAAUUUAAAUUUUAAAUUUAUAAUUAAAAUUAGAUUAAAUUAAUAUUACAAUUCAAUAUUAUAAUGUAAAUUUGAGUGAGUCUAAGAUCGCAGUUUAAAUUGAAAAUUGAAUUAAAAAAUUCUAAUUAUAAAUUUUGGAAAUAUUUAGAGAUAAAAUGAUAUUUUAAAAUUUAAGUAGCAUUAAACUAGCUUCCAACUAAGAUUAGGAUAACACUCCGUGACGUGAGUUUACAUAAGAAAUAUUUAUGAUAUAACUCAUUCUAUUGGAAGAGCGUAUAUGAUAUUUUAAUAUUUUUAGAGGUGCCUGUGAUAGUUUAAGAUUUUGAAAAAUAGUUAUGAAACUGUCCCUGCAUUUCAAAAUUUGGAAAACUGAUCUCCCUGACUUGCGGAUUUCAUGUAGUACAAUUUUUUGACGGUGUUCUUAAUGCAAGUAACAAAUUAUAAGCAACUUUAAAGGAAAAAAAGUUACAUAUUUUUAGGGAUCGUAUUUUGGAAAUUUGAGGAUGAGUUUUUAGUUGUCCAGGUUUCACGCUUUGAUAAAUAAUAUGAUCAGAAGAAUCAUAAAUGGCGAUAGCUUACGUUUACCUACUUUUAUUAGAUAUAUAGUUUAAUAUAUUCUUUUUCCGCAUAAAAUUACUAAUUAAAUAAAACCAAUUGAUGCUCAAACUCUCUCUUCCUAUGGAAUAAAAAUAAAACAUAAAAAAGGAUAAAUUACGCUUUUGGUCCUCAAACUAUAAGAUAUAUGACACUUUAGUCUUCAAACUUUAAUGUGUUAUAAUAACUUAUGGCUCAAAGUAUGAGACACGUGACACUUUAGUCCUUAAAUUUUAAUUAGUUGUAAUUUCUGACUUACACUAAAGUUAAUUAAUUUAUUUAUUUCUACGAAAUCGAUCGGUUUUGUUCAAUCAGUAAUUUUAUUCGAUGUUAAACUAUAUAACAAAUUUUAUAAUGUCUAAUUGUUAAAAUUAAAAAUCGACCAAUCAUAUUUUAAAUAUUAAAAAAAUUAUAGAUGCAAAAUUGAUCUUUGAUCGGAUUGUAAUAUAAUAUUAAACUUUUAUAAUAAAAUCGUAUAAAAUUUGUCUAAACUAUAAACCAUUCUGAAUCAUCUAUUCAACCUUUUAAAAUUUUAUUCUUAUUAUCGAACUAUUCGAUACGUUAGAUUUUAAAAUUUAUAUAUAAAAGGUUUAUAUAUUUUAAAUUUUAUAAUAAAAGCCCGCCACGCCUCUCUCCCCCGGCCCCGCCCCAGCGUCUGCGACGUGGCUCAUAAGAGACAAUUGAAAUUAUUUCGGGGACCAUCCGAGUUAUUUUGCAGCCAAGGUUGGACGUGGAUUAAUGCGGCGAUAACUCAAAUUACCAUUACCAUACUAUAAAUCCGAGCAAGAAAUGUAUGGAACCCCCUGAACUAUAUGCCACUAUGAAAUAGCGCCUUCAAUCUACUUUUGUUUUUUCCCAUUUCGUGUUGAGUGAUUUUGGUGACUCACAGUAAUUAUGAUAAUUUUAUCAUAUUUAAUUUAUUUAGUUUACAUACUACGUACAAUUGGCAGUUUGUGCAACAAUUAAUCUAUUCAGCUUAUUUUAUUCAGCUUGUUUUAUUAUACUAUAUAUGUUGAGUAUCACAACGAUGAUCUUCUAGCUUAUUUUCACGAAACUUUGCAUCGGAAUUUAAUAAUCGUUUUAAAUAUUUUUUAACUUCUUAGAUUACGGUGGUAUUAAAGUGCAUUACCAUAUAUUUUUUUUUUGAGAAAAAAAUUUUAUNCAUUCCGUGCGUCUGUGCUAGCAGUUCUUGGCAUGACUCCAUGCCACUCCAUAAAUCCUUGCUUUUGUUGUUUACAAGGCUAAACUUCAAAAUCGGCACUGUGGUAUAGUGCAUUUUCGCGUUGGUGCACUAUGGAUUCUUUUCUAUCACAUAGGUGCCCUGAGUUUGGUAUUGAAAUUAUUCCUCAAGGACCUUUUUUCUAGCCCUGUUGGUAUUUGUGUGUGUUUCCAGUUCAAAUCGUUGUUGGCUCGGUUUUUUUAAGUCUAAACUCAACCGAGAACCCGAAUGCAAGCCCAUCUUAUAAGGGGUUUCUGAUUAAGUUUGAAUCAGAACACGACCUAAGCCCUGACCUAACACGACCCAACCUGUUUAUAUAUAUAUAUAUAUAUAUAUAUAUAUAUAUAUAUAUAUAUAUAUAUAUUCCAGUCAAUCUAUUUCUAGCAUACUGAGCACUAAUCCCUUCCGAUGCAUCCACUUAUCCCAUGCCAACCUUUCUUGUCCUUUGUUGGAUCGGAGAGUUGCAAUCAAGAGUGGGACAACUUUUCACUCCGUCCGCAAGAGUUGUUGUCGCUGCGCUUGCACCUCAUUUAUUGUUGUUGUAUGAUUGAAAUUAUUUAGGGCAUGUGUGGCACAACAUGAAUAAGAAUAAGAGUUUAUGCACAUAAAUUUAUAUAUAUAUAUAUAUAUAUAUAGAGUCCGGCUACUAUACUCUUAUGAGUAUGAUUGUCCUCGUACUUAUAAGUUGUUUUCGAUGAUAGAGCUUCCGAAUCGACGAUCCAUACUGUUAAAUAUUAUUUAGAGCAUUUAAAACGUAUAGAAAUUAAAUUUUAUAAUUUUUCGAUAUCAUUUACCUUACAAUCAAAAGGUCACAAAAUUGACAAUUUUUAACGGCCGGUAUGAAAUAUUUGUUAGUUAAACAGUAUAAAAGAAUCAAAAUAAGUUGAUUUUUUGAUAGAAAAUUCUAUUCAGUAUAUAGAUAAAGAUCAAUAGCUCCGAUCUUAAAUUGAAGGAUCCGAUCAUAAAUUUUUAAGACGUCGUUCGAUUUUGACAAUUCAUUUUAUACCCGCUUGAUGAACUUUAUUAUGAUUUCAAAAAAUUACGAAAUUUAUUUUCUAGAAAUUUUAAUAAACUAUAUUUAACGGAAUGGAUCGUCGAUUUGGAAGCUACAUCAUUGAAAACAACUUAUGAGUAUGUACGAAGUGUUCUAUACUCAUAAGAGUAUAGUAGCCCUAACAUAUAUAUAUAUAUAUAUAUAUAUAUAUAUAUAUAUAUAUAUAUAUAUAUAUAUAUAAAACUAGGCUGGUAUACUAUCGGUAGCACGGAGGCUGAUAUAUAUAUAUAUAAAAUAGAGCUUCUACAUUUUUAAAAGUACCAAGUUAUUGGUACUUAUAUAUUUUUUGCCAUUGAAAUAAGAGAUAUACGGUUAGAAUGAUGUGGGACCAUUAAAAUUGAGUGGUGGUUGGUUCGGAUGAAAAUAAUCAAAUGUAUAGAUCUAAUAGUAAAAAAUUUACAAGUAUCAAGUGUUUGAUACUUUUAAUGUACCAUAUAUGCAGAUUUCUGAGACGGUAAAAAUUUUGCUUUUGUCUAAAUAAAUGAAAGAUGGAAUGGUUAAUUUGAUUUGAAAUUUUGUUUUUCUCCCGUUCAACUCGUUACGUUCUACUGGUUACAUUCUAUAUAUUUGUAGUGGCGUUGAACCACACCGUACAUGUGAGUAAUUAAGAUACAACCUUAUUUUCUAUAGAUAUCUGAGAUUUGGGUAAAUAGCUCUACAUGUCUCUAAACUUAAAUUAGUUUUUAAACUUGUAAAUUUGGUAUAUAUUUAAGACCGGACUGUUUGAAUUAUAUCAUUCUAGUCCUUAUUCUGAAUAAAAAAAAACAAAAAGCGGUAAACUAUAGUAAAACCUUCCAGUACUGCAUGUAUCAGUUAACACCCUCAAUUUAAUUUUAAAUAUGUUGAAUGGGGAAAUUAAUUGCACUACUAAUUAAUUUCCAAACUUCUAUUUUAGUCCUCAAUUUUUAAGUUUCACAAUAUUUGGGACUCAUUGAAUGUUUCAUUCUAGCACUUAGUUAAAAAACUAAAAAAUAAAAAAAUAUAAGAGAGAAAGAGAAAAGCUAAAUUUGUAGAAAACCUCGCCCCUUUCAUAUGUUAGAUUUUAUACUUUAUUUUCUUCAAAUUAUCAGGCCAAAUCAUUCUGUACCGACUAAGAUUUGAUAUUAGAACCACUCACCCAAUCAUAAAAUAAGAAGCGAAAAAAGCUCUAUUAUCGUGUUAAAGAACUAGAAUAUAAUCUAAAAACUCAAACGGAGUGGUAAAAAUAACCUUCACAUUAUGUAUACUAUUUUAUUUUUAUCUAAAAAGAAUCUAAACACAAGUACUCUAAUAAUAUAAUUUUGUAUUUUGUAUUUCAAUUAUAUGCACUUUCUCUAUAUAUUGACCCUCACAUUACCCCAUAGAUAUUCAAAACAAAUAAAUCUACAAAAAUAUUAUUUUUGAGACAUUUUCCUAUCAUAAUGUUGUACUAGUGUAGAGACCCGCGCGAUACAGCGGGUAGAUAAUAGAAUCAAAACUUAAAAAUUUUAAUAAAAUUUAUAUUUAUAGUUUAUUAAAUUCAACUAUUAAAAAAAUAAAAUUAUAGCUUAUAACCCACACAUUGAUAAAAUAUUAAUAUGAUGCAUGUAAUUAAAUGUUGCACUUUACAUGUAAUUAGAGAAGUGGAGAGGUGAAGAGUUGGACGUUGAGAAGAGAAAAUAAUUUGAUUUAAAAUUGGGCUAUGAGAAUAAAGAAUAACAUAUGGCAAAAAAAAAAUUUUUAUGGUACAUGCAAAAGAGUUACAAAAAAGAGGGCUGAGAGAUUAAUGGAGAAGAGAAGUUGAUUAAAGUUAUAAAUCUCACUCGAUGAUAGAAUAUUAAUAUGGUGCAUAUAAUUAAAUCUUGUUACUUACAUGUAAUUAGAGGAGUGGAAAGGUAAAGAAUUGGGCGUUGAGAAAAGGAGAAGAUGAUUUAAUUUAAAGUUGAGUUAUGAAAACGAAAGCUAACAUGCCACGUGGCAAAAAAAAAUACAAAACUGUAACUUCAUAAAGAUUUAUUUAUAGAUUUAUAGAUGUGCACGUGCGUGACUUUUCAAAUUGUGUUGGACCAUCCCAAUUAUUUUGCAAACAACGUAUUCAAUGCGGUGACAACUCAAAUUUAAUUAUUGGAGCAAGAAAAUGUAUGGAAACCCCUAAACUAUAAGCGACUUUGAAAUAGCUCCUUUAAUCUGGUUUAAUUCUAUCGACUGUUUCUAGAGCAAAUGGUCGGUAUCCGAGACUCAAGUUCGAAUUCUAGUUGAUUCACAUUUCUAGCUAAGUUUAUUUCAAAAUGAAAUAAACGAAGCGGGUAACAUGCUAUCUUUCUCUCAAAAAAAAAAAAAAAAAUCUGGUUUAAUUCUCCCUCGCUGCCAUAUUUUAUAUUAGCUUAUGGUGUUGAGUCAAUGCUUUGAGGUGUCGCUAAUAUGUUUGUAUUCUCUCUUAAAUACGUAAUUAAUGCAAGAGAUAAACUACACCCCACUCAAGUUUUUUUUUUCCAUUCUAAUUAGCUGUCAAAGAUUAAUUAAAUAUAUGGACAGUUGAAAGAAACAUUUCUCUGCUUUUCUAUUUUUUCUAAAUCUCUUACAUUUUCUCUUAUAGAUAUACGCAUGUUACGAUAGUCUUUAUAGUUCCAGUUCUAUCACUGUAACAAAAUAUAUUUUAAAUAAUAUUUUUUAGACAACGCUCUAUUAUAAUAUCUUCAAUAUUUGGUAUAUAUCAACAGUAUGACUAAAUAUUGUUAAUAAAUAUAUUUUUAUUAAAAUACUGAUAAAUUUUUCGACGCUAUAUUAAAGCGUCUGUAUAUAUAUCCCAACAUAUUUACUUAACGACUCUUUAUUCGAUAUUUUUACAGGUGUCGAGAUUAUUCUUACUGAUGCUUUAAAAACGAUCUCGAAUUUUUGUAAGUAGUAUUUCGUGAUGGACUAUUGAUGCAUAUAAAAAAAAAUUAUGUGGUUUGAUACUUUAGUUUAAAUCUAUAGAUGAAGAUGGAGCGAAAAUUUUAUUAUAGCCAAAAGUGCAGAAGAUAAGAUUUAUGCCCAUUGUUCACCCUUAUCUUGACCACAUGUUGCGGUCUAGGUUCUGGGGUGAAGAAGAUCUGCAUUAUUGCGCUUAUGUAUGUACUAUUUUCUUGACAAUUUGGGCAAUAGAAUUAAGCUCGUAUGUUUUUAAUAGUGUAAGUUAUUGAUGUUUGUAAAUUUUCGAUCUUUGAGUUAAGGGAUGUGCGGUUUGAAUGAAAAUAAUCUUCUUAGGUUGAUUGGAUAGUUGGUUGAAUAGUAUAUAUGCUCUAACGAGUAAAAAUAGUUAAAAGGAUAAAUCUAACGGCAGAAAACUUAUAAGCACUAAGUACUUGCUACUUUUGAAAACAUCAUAGUCGGACUCUCGAGCAAUAUUAGUUUUUAUAAACCGAUGAAAAAUAGAUUUAAGUAAUUGAUACCGUAAAUUUGAAAUUGUAGAUGUCGUGUAGCUUUUCCAGUUUAUAUAGUUUGCUCAGUAUAUAUUUAUCGUUUAGUUUAUGAAUUCCAUUUUUGUCUACUUCAAUAUCAAUCGAUUAUCAUAUUAUUCAUAAAUAAAAAUGGUGAAUAAAAAAGUGAAAUUGUAUCGUGCAAUUUGUGAAUAUAUAUUUUUAAUUUACCUUCUUUAAAUUAGUAUAAUUAUUUUAUUUAAUAUUUGUACAAUUUAAUUACUUUCAAUUAAAUAUAUUUUGUUUGCUAUGCAUUAAUUUUACUGCUUUAUGAAAUUUUAAAGGUAAAAAUAUAUGGUUUAAUAAAAAAGGAUUGAUGAUUUGCAAUGGGCAAGGUAGAAAUAAUUUUAAAAGAGUUGUCACUAAUCUUAAUAUUUUGAAUAAUUUUUUUAAAAUUAGGUAAAUAUAUUUUUUUGGCAUUAUUAUUUUAGAAACGCUUCUAUGUAUAUUAUGUGACUGAGGAUCAGAAGGAAAAAUUUUAGAAUGCAACUGGUAUAUUGGUGACGUGGCGUAACAAACUAAUCAAAUAUCUGGUAUAUUGGUGACGUGGCGUAACAAACUAAUCAAAUAUCUCCUUUUAGAAGUAUAUAUGUUCCAUCAUGAUUGUAAAAAAAUAUCGAUUAGAAGAGGGUACGUAGUUUCGGGACCACCUCCAUAUUGGUUAUAAGAUUGGAAUUAUUGGCACAUGCACGUGUUACGUGUACGUAGCUCGAUCGGAAUAUAUAUAUAUAUAUAUAGAACAAUAAUACAUAAUUAGCAGUAUGGCACUAUUAGGUAAUAAAUAAUAUGAAGUAACGACGAAAUUAAGCGUGCUUAUAUGGAUAUGCUUCAGCAUUAAUUUUUCAAAUGGGACCGCAAAUUAUGAUGCAUGUAUUAUCUGCUUCAAACCUCUUCAUCAUCAAAUCAUCUGCUUCGCCGAGAGAAGCCAACGACGAAGCCCACAUCACAGAAAGAAACAAAAAAAGAAACAAUACUUGGUACUUGGAAGCCAUAGCUCACACUUACGACUAGUUUUGUUGCUGAGAGUAAGGUUCUCCGCAUCGAGUUUAUGUACAAGUUCUCGACCUACUAAUUAAAGUUGCUGGACCAUUAAUGGACGUGAGAGGUCAAUUAUUCGGGGCUAUUAUUAUUAUUAUUAUUAUACGAUAUCAUUAUUGGCGGCAAUUUGCACCGCUGGUCACUGAGCCCUAAUAGCUACAUUUGGUUUGGGAACAAAUUUUGAGUAAUAAUUCGUUUAUCGUUCCACCAACAAACGAUAUUUGGGAAUUAUCUAGAAUAAGCACUAAAUUACAUUUGGAUGCUGUUUAUUGAGUUGAGUUGAAAUGCUAUUAAUAGUCUUUAAAUUUUUUUACUAUCGAUUUUUUAAUUCUUAGAUUUAUAUUUUAAUUAAUUUCUUAUUUAGGUCAUGCUAUUGAAUUUUAUAGGGAUAUAUUUAUAAUUAGUUAUGUUUACAAAAAACUAUACGUAAUUAACCCUAAAUUUAAUUAAAUUUUAAUUUUAAAAUUUUUUUAGAGGAAAAGACACAGUUUUCAGUUUCGUUCAUUUUGUGGUUUUUGUUUUUUUUUAUUUUUAAAGUAAAAUCUUAUUAUGUAGAGAGUUGGUGCUAAUGUGCAUGUGAUGAAAUUUCAUUAAUUGAUUUCUCUCUUCCGUUGUUCGAUCGGAAUGCCGCAAUCAUGAGAGGGACAGCAUUCCAGUGCUCCAUACGCCAGAGUUAUUGUGGCUGAGCUUGCACCUCUAUGUGGGACAAAAAUUUUGCGGGCACCAUCCCUAAAUUAAUAAUUUGGGGACCGUGCAAAUGGGUGUCACGUGAUUGGUUCGACGGAUGCCAAUUUUUACUAUUUUUUAUCUCUCUUUAGAAAAAUAGUAUAAUUUUUUUUUUUUUUUUCAUUGAUGGCAGUCGGAUGGACCACGUGACGCCCAUCCGCAUGGUCCCUCUAUGUGUUGUCCUUGUAUGAUUGAUGAUUGAUAGUACAACAUGUCUGGCACAACAGAAUAAGAAUAAGAGCCGCACGUAAAUUUAAAAUGAUAUAUGUAAAUUAACAAAUAUUAUUAUUGUUUAGAAUAGGUGUUUCUUUUUUUUAAGAGGGAACUCACCAAAAAUAGAAAAUUUUCUAGAUAAUGGCCGUUCCCUGAUACGUCAAUGUAUUGAAGGUGUUUUCGAUAAUAAAAUUGAGAUCUAGUAAAGUACAUUUACUGAAUAUAUAUGAGCGACGAUUUGUGAUAAUUUAUCUCUUCCUUCAAAAUCGUGUAGAAAUUAGAUAGAUUUUCUUUUAAUCGAACCGCUUCCGUAUUGAUCUAUAUAUAUAUAAUGUGAUUUGAAUACUCAUAAAAGGGGAUGGUGUACCAUUGCCCACUUUUAACAUGCACAAGACAUAGACUAUAAGUAAAAUUUACUUUUGUCUAAAUAAACGAAAGAUGAAAUAAUUAAUUUGAUUUGAUUUGAAAUUUAUAGUGGUGUUGGACCACAACAUACAUCUGAGUAAUUUAGAUACGACCUUAUUUUCUGUAGAUAUAUGAGAUUCGGUUAAAUUGCACUACAUGUCUCUGAACUUAAAUUUAAUUUUCAAAAAUUUGAUAUAUAUUUAAGACCGGACUUUUUGAAUUAUAUCAUUCUAGUCCUUAUUCUGAAUAAAAAAUGGGGUUAAAUUAUAGUCAAACUUUUCCCUGCAUGUGUCAGUUUACACCCUCAAUUUUUAAAUAUGUUGAAUGGGUAAAUUGCACUACUACUUCCCAAACUUCUAUUUUAGUCGUCAAUUUUUAAGUUUCGCAAUAUUUAGGACUCGUUGAAUGUAUCAUUCUAGCCCUUAGUUCAAAAAAAUAAAAAAUAAAAAAUAAAAAACUAUCGGAGAGAAAGAGAAAAGCUAAAUUUGUAGAAAACCUCCAUACAAAAGUUGUAUUUUACACUUUAUUUUCUUCAAUAUUUAAACUAUCAGGCAAAAUUAUUAUAUACCGACUAAGAUUUUAUAUUACAAUCACUCGCCCAAUCAUAUAUUAAGAAGCGGAAAAAGAUCUAAUAUGGUGUUAAUUAAAGAACUUGAAUCUUAUCCAAAAUAAGCGGUAAAGAUAGAUAACCUUCACAUUAGGUGUACUAUUUUAUUUUUAUCUAGUAAGAAACUAUACACAAGUACUCUAAUAAUAUAAUGUCUUUUCUAUUUCAAUUAUAUGUACUUUCCAUAUUGAACCUCACAUUACUUCAUAAAUAUUCAAAACAAAUAAAUCUAAAAAAAAAUUUCUCAAAAAACAAUAUAAAAAAAUAUUAUUAUUGAGAUAUUUUCGUAUCAUAAAGUUGCAUGUGAAUGUGCAGGACUUUUCAAAUUGUCUCGGGGGCCAUCCCAAUUAUUUUGCUGCCAACGUAUUCAAUGCGGUGACAACCGACAUUUAAUUAUUGGAGCAAAAAAAUGUAAGGAAACCCCUAAACUAUAAGCCUCUUUGAAAUAGCUCCUUCAAUCUAGUUUUUCUCUCAUUGCCCUCUUUUAUAUUAGUUUAGAGUGUGUUUGGUUCCACCUAAAAUUAUUUCAAUUUUUUUUUGGCAGUUGAAAAGUAAAUUCUCGAUGUUUGAUUGUUUGCAAAAAAAAUUUCUCAAUUUUUUUUUUUUACAGAUUCAAUAGAACUGGAGGAUUUUGUUCUCUGCUUGUUUCGAGAGGAAAACGAAAACUUCAGCCGCGAAAAUACGUGGCGUUUCGGAAAGGCGGGGAUGUGUAUCACGUGGUCCAAAAGGUGACCUCCACCUCGUGGACUGCAUGAGAGUCUCUCCCCCUUUUCUUAUAUAUAUAUAGAGUCCGGCAGCUAUACUCUAAUUAUGAGAACGAUCGCCCUCCUACUCAUAAGUCGUUUUCGAUAAUAGAGUUUCCGAAUCGACAAUCCAUACCGUUAAACAUUAUCUACAGUAUUUAAAACUUCUAGAAAUCAAAUUCUAUAGUAGGUCUUGUGUGCUUUUAGAAGUACAAGGCCUUCAUACUGCUAAACCGUUUUCGAUGAUAGAGAUUCUAAAUUAACGAUCGAUUCCGUUAGACUUGAUUUAGCAUAUUUGAAAUAUCUAAAAAAUAAAUUUUACGAUUUUUCGAUAUCAUUUAUCUAACGAUCAAAAGAGUUCAAAAUCAACGGUUGAAAAUAAAAAUCUCACAAAAAGCGGUGAUAUGGACACUAAAAUUUUUGAUUAGAGAUAUUGAUCUUGCUAUAAAUAGUAUAAAUAAUUUUUUAUAAAAAUUUUAUCUGAUUUGAAUAAUUAUACACGGUUAAAUUUGCAAACAGUAUAUAUAUAUCAACAAUUAACAAUUAUUAAUUUUGAUCCCUUUCGAUCAUUAAGUAAAUGAUAUUAAAAAAUCACAAAAUUUAUUUUCUAAAUAUUUUAAAUACGCUAGAUCAAGUUUAACGGAGCUGAUCGUUAAUUCAAAAGCUCCAUCAUCAAAAAUAGUUUAGAAGCACAGAGGCUCGAUCCGUGCUUCUAAUAGCGUAGUUGAAAUAUUCAAAAACUCCAUCAUCAAUGAUCGGUGCGAAUUAAGGAAGAAAAAAUUCAACUUAUCUUACAAAAUUAUUUUGGGAAAUCCUCGCUGCACAAUUAGGCGAAUCCUAUGCCCAAAUGAACAUCAAGAGAUUGAUAAAAAAAAGGGAGAGCAAAGAAAUGGGUUUAAAAAAACACAAGGAGGGCCCCAAUCCACCUCUCCUCCACCCAAAUAAAUGUACGCGGUACCGCCACGUUGGAUUAAACUGUGAUUUUAUAAAUUUUUAUUAUAGAAGAUGUUAUCAACAAAAAAUUUUAAUUCUUAUAUUUUUUUAUAUAUAAAGUGAAAAUUUUUAUUUUAGUUUAUUUUAAUAUCUUUUCUGUGAAACAAUCGUUGUACUCUAAAAACUUAAAUUGUUAGAGAACGAUGUUUAAACAUUUUUUAUAUUUAACACUCCCCCUCACGUCUGGGCUUGAGACUUUUUAGUCGGCCCAUGACGUGAGCUUGAAUUAAAUGGGAGGAAAUUAAUAUGUUAGGAGUCUGGCGUGACUCCAACUCAAGACCUCCUGCUCUGAUUUAGAUGUGAAACAACUGUUGUACUCUAAAAGCUUAAACUGUUAGAGAACGGUGCUUAAACAUUUUUCAUAUUUAACACUCCCCCUCACGUCUGGGCUCGAGACUUUUUAGUCGGCCCAUGACGUGGGCUUGAAUUAAAUGGGAGUAAAUUAAUAUGCUAGGAGCCUGGCGUGACUCGAACUCAGGACCUCCUGCUCUGAUACCAUGUGAAACAUCCGUUGUACCCUAAAAGCUUAAGCUGUUAGAGAACGGUGUUUAAACAUUUUUUAUAUUUAACAUUUUCCUGCAUUUGAUUCAAAAUUUAUUACAAACUAAUAGGUUGAUGAUGUCUUCUGUUUUUAUUUAAUAUCUAAAUUUGAGGGCAGUGAGUACCCCAAUUUAAUUUUUUUAAUUCAAUAUCAUUUGAUUAUCAAAUUAUUCAUAAAUAAAAAUGGUGAAUAAAAAGUGAAAUUGUAUCGUACAAUUUGUGAAUAUAUAUUUUUAGUUUACCUUGUUUAAAUUAGUAUGAUUGUUUUAUUUAAUAUUUGUACAAUUUAAUUACGUUCAAUUAACUAUAUUUUGUUUGCUAUGCAUUUUACUGCAUUUAUGAAAUUUUAAAGGUAAAAAUUUAUAGUUUAAUCAAAAAGUAUUGAUGAUUGGCAUUGGGCAACGUAGAAAUUUUGAAAGAGUUGUCACUAAUCUUAAUAUUUUGAAUAAUUUUUUUUCAAAUUAGCUAAAUAUUUUUGGCAUUAUUAUUUUAGAAAAGCUUCUAUGUAUAUAAUGUGACAAAGGAUUAGAAGAGGGUACGUAGAUAUGAUGUUAUUCCUAGGUAAUACACUAAUUACCUUAACUCUUUGAAUGGUUCAUAAGGCGGAAACAUUUUGAUAAUUAAUAUAAAGGGUACAACUCGAUCUUUCUUUCUUUUUUUUUCUUUUUUUUCUUUUUUUUUUUUUGAGAAAAGGUAGUGAAGCUACCUGCUUCAUUCAUUAGGCUAAAUAAACUAAGCAUAUAUGAUUGAGGCAACUAAGGCCUCCGGAAGGGUCUUGAAGAAAAACAAAAUAAAUGGAAAAAAAAGGAAAAAAAAGAAAAAAGACAAAAAAGUAGACAACAGUGAAUAAACCUUACUAAAAACGGUCGUCCCAAUAAGGUACCAAAACAGGGUGCGCGGUCGAGUCAAAGUGCGUCAGCCCAGUCUUUGAUCAAGUAAGUGACACGUUCGAUGGCCCGGGCAGCGUUAGAACGUGUAUCGCGAAAAAUAAUAUUAUUACGUUCCGUCCAUACCACCAACCAGAUUGCCUCUAGAUGAGCCCGGCUUUGACUCGAUCAUUACUAGGCUUUGACUCGAUCAUUACUCCGGUACAUUCUAGUUUUGUAUACUCCAGCUCCGAGGAGAACACAACGCUCGUUUCCGAGAUGCAGAACAAAUUAAACAGAUGCUGUAGCAUCAUGUCACGUUUCAAAUUGUUUCGUGACCACCUCAAUAUAUGUUCACUUUUUUGUACACAUGGUUACUGCAGAUUGAACCAGCACGUGACCGAUACGUACGUUUAGUCCCCAUUAAGAUUGGAAUUAUUGGCACAUGCACGUGUUAGGUGUACGUAGCUCGAUCGGAAUAUAGAACAAUAAUACAUAAUUAGUAUGGCACUAUUAGGUAAUAAAUAACAUGAAGUAACGACGAAAGCAAGCUUAUAUGGAUAUGUUUCAGCACUUUUCAAAUGGGAUGGCAAAUUAUGAUGUACGAAAUAUAUUAUUACAUACAAAAAUAAAUAAAAUAUUUAUUUAUCAUAUUUUUUCUUUACAGGUGGCACAAUCUUUCAAUAAUUUCAAACAAAGCGUUAGUGUAUUAGAAUUUUAAUUCUUGAAUGAGAAAUUGUUGGAUUAAAAUGAUAUUAGUAUCUUAGAGUUGAGUGAUUCCUCUAAAGUUGAGUGGUUCCUACUGAAUUAUAAUAUUUAAUUCAAUAAUUUAAAAUAAUAAAAAGAAUUGAUCCAAAAAACCUAUAGCAAAAAUGGCCUUUUGGUAUCAAUAGUAUUCUAUCCCAUCUCUCUCUCUCUCUCUCUCUCUCUUUCUCUCUCUCUCUCUAUAUAUAUAUAUAUAUAUAUAUAUGAAUCAGGCUGGGAUACUAUCAAUAGGACCAAGCGUUUAGUGCUAUCAAGUUUUUCACUGUUAGAUUUAACUCUUUGACUAUUUUUAUCUGUUAGAUUAUACUAUUAAACCGAUAACUUAUUCAACCCUAGGAGGCCCACAUUAUUUUAACCGUAUAUUUUUUCAUCCAAGGACCGAAAAUCUAAUAGCACCAAUAGUUUGGUGCUAUUGAUAAUAUUCCAGCCUAGUUCUAUAUGCACACACAGGUCUUGUGUGCUAUUAGGAGCACAGAAGUCUUCGUGCUCCUAAGUCAUUUUUUAUGAUGAAGUUUUUGAAUCGACGAUCGAUUCCAUUAGACUUGAUUUAUCUAUUUAAAAUAUUUAGAAAAUAAAUUUUAAAGAAAGCGCUAGUGGAUUAGCAUUUAGCGAGUUAGAUUUCAAUUUCUUACCUCACAUGUAGUGUGUGGGCUUAGAUUUCAACUUCUUACCUCACAUCUAGUGUGUGGGCAUGUACGUAAUUGCACCGCACAGAGCAAUAUAGAUGCACAAUUCUAUUAACUGCUACAGGCUUUACAUACCAUUACUUGAUGAUCUUAUUCGGAUAAAAAUUUGCUAGGCAUCAUCCCCAAAUUAUAAGUUGGGGGACGAUGCGGAUGUGUGCCGCAUCGCCCUUCCGACACGCGCCCAUGGAAGGAAAAAAAAAAAAUGGCGCCCUGUGUUUAUAUAGAGAGAGAGAGUGAGAGAGAGAGAGAGAGCAGAGGGAGGGAGGAGAGUGAUCGUCGGAUGGGUCAGGCGGCGCCCAUCUGUAUCAUCUAGUUUGGAGACCAUGCCCAGCAACUUUUUGUCCAACUUACUCAUCAAAACAGCAUAAACUUACAAAAUUAAAUACAAACAGUUGGCUACUAAAUAUAUAUUAGGCAGCCAGUGGAACUGAUAAUAAUGCAACAAAAAUACAAAUGAAAACAGCAAGCCCUACUCGAUCAUACAGAUAAUCUUCGCACGAGCAUCGCCCGAUUUAUUACAUAGCUUAUAAGGUACGUAGCACACAGGGCACUUCAUUGCAUGCUAAAUCGCAGCUUCGAUAACCCUUACAUGGAGCUGACACGAUCAUCCGAACCCAUGUCAGAGGGUUCUGUAAUGCGCGGUGACGAAACAAGAGUCGGGUAAAUACCAUAGCUAGCCAGACCACAUAAUCCAGGAUAUGCCGUGUCUCUUAACAUCCUCACGUAUCCAUUUUCUCCCCACCUGUUGCCCCAUGAAUUCUUUAUUAUCCAAUACUUGUCUCCGGUGCUGCUGUCCUGCCCGUAACCUACGACGGUAACGGCAUGGAAAAUAUUUGUCCCACAAGGUCCUUUAAAGAUACCGCCAUUGUAGUAAUUGAAGUAAUAAGAGCUAGCAUCAAUAGCAAUAACUGUCGGCUGGUUCGCCACAGCAUACAUGAUCGCGCGUUCAUCGUAGCUAGGUUGUACAUAUUGAUAGCCGGUAAUAUAAGCUGCAUUCGGUUUGUUAUUUCUGCAAGUGCCUUUGUAUCCUACAUAGGGAUAGUUCGCCUCCGUCGUCACGCCCUUGUUAGCGAUGAUAAAUUCGUAGGCUUUGUGUACCCAACCAGAUGUGCACGCGUUGCUAACAGUACAAUCUAAAACUUCUUGCUCCGAUAGAGAUAUUAGUUGCCCUGUUUUAAUCUUGUAGAUGCCUUCUACCGUCGCGAUUGAAGAGAAUGCCCAGCAAGAACCUAUUUCAAAACAUAUAUUCAAGUUAGCACAACUCGUACAAGCAAAAGUUACGUAGAUUGUUAAUUAAGAUGUAAGAAGAACAUUCAAACAAGUAUGGACAAGGUCAAACAGAUGAUUACUGUGUUACUUUAUGCUUACUUGAGUGAAAAUGAUUAAUGUUGUCAUACUUCUUGUCGGAAAUUAAUUUUUCUAAAAACUUAAUUAAACUACUGAAGAACGAUUUCUAAUUAUUAAGAAUUAAUACUUCUUAUUAUGUCUAAUCUACAAAUGUACAUAUAGUAGGUGAUAACAUGUGUUCGUACACUUUUAGCUAGUCUGAGACAUGAACUUUGCAUUCAAAUGCGGUGGAGGUUUGGUUCUUUUGUCCACAUAAAUGGCUAAUGGAAUGGUGAGAUUUGGGCCCAAGGCAUCCUAUUCUCAUGAGGUUAAUUAAAAAAAUAACAUUUAUUAAGGUUCAGGCUGCUAUAGCUAGAAAUUAAUGCGCUUUAGUUCUCUAAACUCUACACUUGGUUCUUACCGCAAGUUCCUUGAUUCUUGACUGGUGUUACGGCACCGUAAUCCCUCCAAUCAAUGCUUUGAGGUAUCGCGGACAUGUUUACAUCCUCAAACGACACCGAUGGCUCUAAAUUUGUCAUAUUUAGAGGGAGAGAUAGACCGACAUGCUGAGCCACGAUUUCAUCAUUUGUCAUGUCAGCGAAUUGAUUAAUGCCCAGAGUAUACGAGUUGCCGCCGCGCCUGUUGAAGGCUUCAAUGCGGUUCACAUUGUCCUUAAAGAUCUCAAAACGGCGCAUCUUCUCAGCAUCGUCACUGUAAACUCGGCCGAAAUCGGCCAUCCAUUCAUCAAACCUCUUCAUCAUCGAAUCAUCUGCUUCACCGCGAGAAGCCAACGGCGAAGCCCACAGCACAGAAAGAAACAGAAAGAGAAACAAUACUUGGAAUCUGGAAGCCAUAGCUCUGACUUACAAAUGCUUUUUUUGCUGAGAGUAAGGCUCUCCUCAUCGAGUUUAUAUAGUAGUUCUCGGCCUAUGUACGUACUAAAGUUGCUGGACCAUUAUUGGACGAGAGGUCCAUUAUUGGGGGCUAUUAUACGAGAUCAUUAUUGGCGGCAAUAAUAGCUUCAUUUGGUUUGAGAACAAUUUUUGAGUAAUAAUUUUUUAUCGUUCCAGUAACAAAUGGUAUUCCGGAAUUACAUUUCGAUACUGUUUAUUUUGUUGAGCUGGAAUACUCUAUAUUAAUAGUAUUUAAAUUUUUUCGCUAUUAUUUUUUUAACCGUAAGAUCUAUAUUUUAAUUAAUUCCACCAUUUAAAUUAUACUAUUCAAAUAGCUACCCAUUCAAUGCUAAGAAGGACCACGAUCAUUCUAAUUCUAUAACUUUUCAUCAAAAAAUUAGAUAAUCGAUAGUAAAAUAGUCAAAUACUAAUAAUAAUAUUUCAGCUCAAUUCUUAUUUAUUUGUUCUGAAAUGAUAUUAUUUUUUUUUUUUUAGUGAGAAAGGUAGCACGAUACCCGCUUCAUUCAACAGAACGAUGAAUUAGGCUACAAGAGUGGGGCAGCCAAGCCCCGGGCGAAGGCGCAAACAAAAAAUAAAAAAAAAAAAAACAACAACAACGCACGCACACACUUAGGAGAGAGGAAAGAAUCCCACUCCGACACUAAUAGCUUGAGCCUCUGGACAGCUAACCCCGGAUUUGGUUGGCAAUUCCUGAAUAUCCAAUUGUUCCUCACCUUUCAAAUAGUCCACCAGCAGCCUGCCAGAUCAGUAAGUCUGGUUCUCUUCUUGUGCUGAUCCUUUCUAUCCGACCACUUUUCCCAGACGAGUUCCACGUCGUCCCCCAGGUCCUGGGCCUAGAUAUCGUCCACCUCUGAAACUAUGAUGAACUUGGUAAAUAUGCACCUACUGAACAAGUGAUCCACGGUUUCCACUUCCGCCCCACAAAGUACACAGGUAGGGUCGUCCGCCAGCCCUCUCAAAACUAGUUUAUCACGAGUAAGAUUCCUUUUCUUGAGUACCAACCAACAAAAUACUUUGUUUUUCAAAAGGAUUUUCAGGUUCCAGAUCCUGGAUACGCGUACAUCUCUCACACUCUCAAAAACACCAUGAGGUUAGUGCUUUUGAUAUUAUUAGUAUGUGGAUAUUUUAUGUUUGAAUAAGGUAUUGAAAUGAUUAAAAAUGUAUGAAAUAUCAGUUUUGCCCUUAUAUAUAUAUAAUAAUCAAAAUAAGAGUUGAGCUAGAAUACUCUCAAAAGCACCAUGAGGUUAGUGCUUUUGAGUUUUUAACUCUUGGAUGAAAAAAUGUAAGAUUGGGAUGAUGGUAGUAGGUGGUGGUAGGUGGAAUAGUGUUUGAUCUAAGGGCUAUUAGUAAUCAAUGAAUAGACUUAAGGGCUAGAAACCUAAAAGCAUCAAGGGGGUGAUACUUCUAAAAGUAUUCUAGCUCAAUUCAUGAAAAUAAACAUAAAUUAUUAAAAAGCUAAAAAUAUUAUAUUUGUCUCGAUUAUCAAAUUAAAUAUUAAUUUUUUUUAGAGAGAUAGAUAGCACGCUACCCGCUUCGUUUAUUUCCUCUAUAAAUAAACUUAGCUAGAAAUAUAAAUCAACUAGGAUUCGAACUUGGAUCUCGGAUACCAACCACCAAGCCCUUUGCCACUUGUUCUAGGGACGAUCAAUAUCUUUUAAAUGUGAAUCAAAUUUUAAAUAUUAAUUAAUUAUAAUUUAGAAAUAAACUUAGCUAGAAAUAUGAAUCAAAUUAAAUAUUAAUUAAUUACAAUUUAGGUACUUUUUUUUCUCCCUAAAGAAAAACUAGAAGCAAAUUAUUAGCAAAGAAAACACCAUUUUUUGAAUAGAAAAUAAAAAUAAUUCCCACAAUAAAUAAAAAUUAAUUCUCAACCAAAAAAUAAAUUGAUUAAUUUGGAAGAACGAGCUCGGCGACGGAGGCGUUGUUCUCAAAAGUUAGAUCUCCCUGGUGGGAGAACCAAGCUUAACGAGUUAUUAAGAUAUAAUUCGUAAAGUCCUCUACAAGAUCAGCUUUCAAUUCUCUCUUUUUUUUUUUCUUUUUUUUUUCUUUUUUCCUAUAAGUUUAAGAAUAUCUUCCUCGUUCCGGAAAUAUUCCCGAAACAAACUCUUAGUCUCUCUAUUUCAUCAUGAUGCCAUAUGAAUGCAAUGUAUAACCCCGAACCAAACACGGGCUAAAUUUACUACCAUAUAUGUGUUUAGUUCUAUCUUUUAUUUAAAGAUUAUAAUUUUUUUCUUUCUGUAGUUAAAACAAAUUUUACAUGUCUCAUGAUUUCCUACAAGUUGUAAAGGGCUAAGUGGUUGGUACCCGAGGUUCCAAAUUUGAGUCCUAAUUAAUUCACAUUUUAAGUUAAGUUUAUUUCUAAAUAAAAUAAACGAAGCGGGUACUACUUAUCUCUAUAAAAAAAAACUAUUUUGUCGAAAUAUAUUAUAAAGUCACCUGUUAAUGCAGCUAAAAAUAUUCCCAACAUUCAAUGGAUGAUAUAUAGGUAUAGCGUUGUUAAAAGGAGCUUUUUAUCUGAUAAAUGAUCGAGUUGAAUAUAUUUGCUCAUCAAAUUUUAAUAGACGCAAGGCAUAGUCUAUAAAUGUAUAGCCUAUAAAUGUAGUUUAGUAAAAGUAAAAUUACUUUUGUCCAAAUAAAUAGAUGGAACUAUAAGAUUUGAUUUUUUUUUUUUUUUUCUUACUGGGUUCGUUCUAUUUAUGGCCGCAUAGGACCGUACCACGAUAUUCUUGUUGGUUAUUCAGAUCCAACAUUAUUUGUUGUAUAUAUUUAAUAAUUGGAUAAAUUACACUACUGGUCUCUAAGAGGUAGUGAAUUUGCAACCCACCUUAAUAUCGCUUGUUGUGAAUAGAGUAUUCACUUUUAUAACAAUUGUUAAGAUUUCAUAAUGAGAGCAUUAAAGCGAAUAUUUACUAUAAAUCCAUUUUUUCAGCAAAAACUGAUCUUAGUAGUCCAAGAAAAGAGAGAAAAAAAAUCAAAUAAAAAUAAAAGUGAAAUAAUAUUCACUAACUAAAAGUGUAGAACGCAGGGGAAGUAUUCGUUUAUACCUUUUUGCGGAAGUGAUUCGCGCUACAAUGCGACGAGUCCGGAUUAUAGAGGUUGAUUCAUGUAUCCUUGGAUCGUCCUUACAGGUCUUCUAAUGUUCCAAACUCGCGGUGGAUCGAACUACAAACGAGCACGAUCGCAAAUCCACCGUUUAAGACCCUCUAGAAUAGUUGGUUAAUGGAGAAUGUGGUUUUUAUGUUUUUUUCUACGUUUUUCUCUUAGUUUUCUUAUUCUCUUUCUUAUUCUCUUGUUCUUAUUUUUAAUGUGAGAUCACCCGCAUAUUUAUAAGAGUUUCCAAAAUCCUAAUAGGUGCGUAAGAGAUAAGACCAAAUCGGCUAUUAAUUGAUAUCCUAAUAUGAUUAGAAUUUAUUUUUAAUUAGCUUUUCAAUUUAAAAGCGAGAUUAAUUCUAAUCCAGUUAGACAAUAUAAUAACUGUCGGAUCGAGUCCGAUCAUGGAUGCACCCAAUUCGAUUUAAUCGGAUGCCAACAAAAAAAAUAAUUAUAUCCUACUCUUCUGCGCGGAGUAAUUUCAAUUCGAGCUCUCUUUGCAAAUCUCUCUCACCACUUUCUCGUCCUCUAAUCUAACGGCGUCUCUUCUGUGCACGCGUGUACAAAAUGCACAAACGACUCACAGUAUAACAAAAGCGGCCCGCACACAUUGAUGAACAGAAUUACCAACUGGACCAUACUAGGCCAGACAAAACUGUAGAUUAAUUACUCGGCCUUUUUUUGACACCCCGGGCUGUUUGCUUCCAGGAAAAAAUAUCUAGAAAAAUUUAGAGGAAAGAAGUUUUUACAUGAAAAAUUCUUAUUUAAGUUUUCCGCUCGUUUGUUUUCAAGAUAUAUUAGAAUUUUUUUUUAUUUUUUUCUUAAGUUCAUGAAAAACUAGUAUUUUUAUUUUUUAAAUUUUUUUUAGAAAACGAUAAUACUAGUUNUUUUUUUUUUUUUUUUUUUUUUUUUUUUUUUGUAAAAUCUGGAAUAAUAGAGUUUUCUGAUAAAACUGGUUUCUUUGGGACUGAAUGGAGAAACUAGUAAUGUGUGUUAAUUAGUGACACAUUUAUUUUGUAUUAGUGCUAGAGGCCUGAGCCUAGAGGUGGCCUCACACAGUACUUAUUCAAGUUCCCGCUGUGUCAUCCUGACCCAAAUGUUCCUGAACCAUGGUCCAGCCCCACUAGUUUGGACCGCACGUACAUUAUCAGGCCACGGUCCGAUCCUAUUUGCUUUUACAUUUUUUAAUAUAUUUUUAAACUUUCAUUUUUAAGAUUAUAUUGUUUAAGUUUUUAAUAUAUUGAUAUAGUUAUUCAUUCAAUAAGUAGGGAUUUUAUAACUUUUUAAUAUCACUAGUCAAAAUUUAAAUAGUUUCAAUUAUGUCUGAGAGAUAAAAAAAAUAAUUACAAAUACUAAAAGAAAAUAAAACAAAAUAGAAAUUUACGAUAACAUAGCUAACACCGGCGAAAUUAUGUCGAUUGCUCAGACAUAAUAAAACAUUUUUUUUUAAGAGAUAAGUAGCAUGCUACUCGCUUUAUUUAUUUCAUUUAGAAAUAAAUUUAGCUAGAAAUAUGAAUCAACUAGGAUUCGAACUUAGAUAAUGUAGCUUAUUAUUUGGAGCUGUUUUUUUUCCCCUUGUUUUCACUAGUAUAGCUUGCCUAUAUUAUAGAGGUCACGUUGUUUGUUUGGUUUUUUUUUUUUUUUUGAGAGAGAGAUAUAAGUAGCAUACUAUCCGCUUCAUUUAUUUCAUUUAGAAAAUAAACUUAGCUAGAAAUAUGAAUCAACUAAGAUUCGAACUCGAGACCUCAGAUACCAACUAUUAAGUAUUUUGCCACUUGCGCUAGAAACGGUCGGUAUAGAGGUCACAUUGUUAUCUACUUGGUUUUGGUGAAUAGGGAUGAUUAAGAAUACGAUCAAAUUAACAUCUUGGGCAAAAAUUAAUUAAUCUAAAAUGCUUAAUUAUAUAGUUUAUUGCGCCUAUAUUAAUCUUGACAUUUGUUACAACACCAUUAUCUUUCCAAUCAACGCUCUGAGCUAGGUACCGCGGACAUGUUAACA